rnacentral:rRNA from 1 species
AUUGAACGCUGGCGGCAUGCCUUACACAUGCAAGUCGAACGGCAGCACGGACUUCGGUCUGGUGGCGAGUGGCGAACGGGUGAGUAAUAUAUCGGAACAUACCCUAGAGUGGGGAUAACGUAGCGAAAGUUACGCUAAUGCCGCAUACGAACUAAGGUUGAAAGUGGGGGAUCGCAAGACCUCAUGCUCAUGGAGUGGCCGAUAUCUGAUUAGCUAGUUGGUGAGGUAAAGGCUCACCAAGGCGACGAUCAGUAGCUGGUCUGAGAGGACGACCAGCCACACUGGAACUGAGACACGGUCCAGACUCCUACGGGAGGCAGCAGUGGGGAAUUUUGGACAAUGGGGGCAACCCUGAUCCAGCAAUGCCGCGUGAGUGAAGAAGGCCUUC